CCCUGAGAGCCUGCCAGUGGCUGAGAGAAGGACAGCAUCUUCCAGGAGAAAGGAAAACCAGAAGGAGACACACGUAGGAAUGAGUCUCCAUAGUGGGAAAGCUCCCCAACGUGAAACCCAAGUCCUUCUCUUCGCUCUGUGAGAUGUCAAGAAACCAGAGGCUGGGCCCUCAGCGGACAGGAUGAUGCCCACCUGAAUUGGAGGGAGCCGUAUUCUUUGCUCAGUCUAUUGAAUCAAAUGCUAACCUCUUCCAGAAACACCCACACAGACACAGACAUAAUAUUUUACCAGCUAUCUGGGCAUCCCUGAGUCCCGUCAAGUCGGCACAUAAAAUGAACCAUCACAGAUGCGAACCUCCUUAGCAGUGUAUUUCAAAUGGGGGCGGGGAGUCCAUCAAUCAAAAUGCAGAUUCCCAGGCCUCACUUGGAUGCCACGGAUCAGAACUGUGGGAGACGUGGCGCUCUAAUACGUGGUUCUCACCAGCAUCUCAGGGGAUUGUCAUGCAGCUGAAGUUUGAGAUGCCCGUGCCUUAGAAAUGAUGCCGGUCUAAUGGUGCCCUCUCCCGGCAGUGGGGAAGCUGAAGUUGGGAGAGAUGUUGAGCGUGGCUUGGUCACAGGCAGGCACAGCACUGCUGAGCCAUGUCUGGGAGGGCACUGAGAACUCUCUGAGGAGGCUUCUCAAACCCGCUGUGCAUUGGUAGAACCCAUGCAGCUUUGAAAAGCUGCUCGUGCCUGGGCUCCGCCCCAGAGGUUCGGGAUUUGUUGAUCUGGGAUGGGUCCAGGCAUGGUGCGCUGUGAAAGUCUUCCCGUGCUAUUAAUGGUGUGCGGUGUUGAGAACAGCAGGUCUCAGCGUCAGGUUUUGGAGGCAGAGAUGGAGGCAGGUGGUGUGCUUGGUAUUAUGGUGCUCGCAGCAUCACAAGAUUCACUGUCCUUCGGGGUGCCGGGAGGACUGUACUUCCCCAUCCCUGUGAAAUUAGGCUUGGCCAUGGGACCAGUUCUGGCCAAUGGAUUGGCAGAAGUGAUGCCACUUCUGGGGGGGGGGGGCGGAAUAUAGGUGCUGAUGUGAGUGGCCCCUGCUGUCCUGUGACCACACUGGACCUGUGGUGUGAGUGAGAAAGACGUCUCGUUUGCAGUUGCUGAGGUCCUGUUUGUCUCUGGGUUAUACCCUGACCUCGCCUGACAGACACACCUGGUUUCAUAAAAAGUUAGUAAAGCUAACGAUAGUUCUGCAUCCUAAAUGCCUUCUCCAUUGCCUUAAUAGAAUAAAUAAACUCUUUUCUUUUUUCCUCCUGUUUUGUUGUUGAAAUCCCGUUGAAAGAUGGAGCCAGGCUUUUGAUGCUAAAAUGUUUCCCAUUGCUUAGUCAAGGCUGUGUAUUCAGUUCAUGGAACUUGCUUAUUCAGUUUGUCCUGAGGAGACGAGUGUUAUGUCAGGCAAAAAAUCCUAAAUGAUUAGAGCAAAUGGUGGUCUUUUCUCACUGAGAAAAAUGUCUGCAGAAAAUUGAUUGAUCUUGACUGAUAUGUGUGCCGGAGCUCUGUUCUUUUGACUUUUACAAGGGAAAUCUCAAGUUAGGGAAAAGGAAGAAAACAUACCACUUGCUUUAAAAUGCAUUUUUUUCAGGAGAAAAUUUAGCAGCUGUGAUGGUUAUGCUGCUUUUGGUAAGAAUGUUUUCCAAUGUAUAAUACAUUAGACUUACCACAAGCCUCCUGCCAGGGUGAAGCUUGCACUAAGCAAGUGGCGACUCUUCCUGGAUUGAAUUCUUGGCUGGAGGGAUGGUUAGGCUUGGGGAAGACAUGGAGAAUGAUAGGUGAAUAGAAAAGAGUUUAUUGAGUUCAGGUGUCCUGACAUUUGCAUUUUGUGAAAUUUCUGUUCAUGCUUCAGGGAGAAAUAAUUUAAAAAUACUAGUAAGAGUAGGCAGCCUUUACAAAAAUUCAAUACAUGUUUUAAAAUUAUUUUUCUGGCUCUGAACUGCUAUUUAGGGCUGAAUUAUUAUAUGGCUCUUUUUCAAAAUUCACUUGACAAUGGGCAAUUUGAUUUUUCUGAAAUAUUUUAUCUACAGAUAGGAAGCUUGUAGAUACUGAAAACCUCUGAGAAUCUGGGAAGAGAGAAUGAGACUGACUUGCUCCUGGCUUUAGCCCCAGUUAGAGAAGCGUCUGGGUUGUGCUAUUAUGUGUUCCAGAGGUGCUUCCAUGUCUGGGGCAGCAUGAUCCUGAAUGAGAAGGGACCCGAAAGGGCCUGGAGCACCUGCCCUUUAUGUUUGCAUGUUAUCUGCCCAGCCCAGCAGGUGCCUUCCUCCUCGGGGAGCUCACAAAGCAGACAGAGCUGUUUCUGAUAAGAUCCCUGGGAAGAUGUUCACAAGGGCACGAAGUUGCGCCUAUGAAGGGGGCUGGUUUUUCCAAUCAGCACUGUAGUAAGAACGGGCUGGCACAUUCACCCUGGGCCCGACCUCCCUGGGAGCAGGCUUGGGUGGUAGAGACUAGACGGGCCACAGCCACCUGGAAACUUCUGUCCGAUUGCUUCUCUCUCUUCCUCCUAGGACCAUUCUCUCUGGGAGAAGGUAAGCAGUGUGCAAGAGGGAAGAACAGCUAGUCAGACACUUGUCCUGGAAAAAGAAUGGAACCAGGCUGAGGAUGUAGAUUCUCUCACUGGCUGGCCUUUGGGGUGGGGACCACCGUGGCCUCUGGAUCAAUUUGGAAUCUCUGGGCUCCGGGAGACUCAGUUUCAAUGCAGCAUUUAUUCUUAUGUGUGAACGGCAGCACCGCUUUCUGCUCUUGGCUGGGGGAGGCACACGGCAGGUGGGGAGAUCACUCUGACCCACGGUGGACUCAGCUGCAUCAGAACCAUCAGCAACUCAAAUAGCAGAGCUCCCUUGAACCCCACGCUUCACACAUGUAUCUGGAAUGACGAUGGGGGUUUUGUACAAAAGCAACCCUCAGGAGCAGGAUGUAAUUUCCUCAAAGUAGUCAUUCGAGCCAUCAUAGCUCAGGAAUAUGAGAACAGGAAGGUUUUGUGGACAUAGACAAGACAAUGAAGGAAAUGAAACACUAUGGGGCCGACGUUCCCAGGUCCUGGUGGGGUUCCGGAUCCUUCUGGAAGGAGGGCUCCUUUGCAUGUUGUGAGCAGUGGGCUUUGCUGGUGGGGGAGGCCAGGACUUGGCUGCUCUCCUUUCCAGUGCCCGACCACCAACAGGCUCCACCCAGGAGGCAGUCAUAUCGCCACACCAUUGUCACAGGGGCUGGGGUACCGAAAGUGGUCAAGGUAACCGGCUGCUGGUGUUUUAUGUAUGUGGAAAGUUUAUAGAACUCAUUUCCCAAUUGUUUAUUUUGGUAAAAAUGUUGACUUGGGGGCUGGCCCCGUGGCCGAGUGGUUAAGUUCGCGCACUCCGCUGCAGGCGGCCCAGUGUUUCGUCAGUUCGAAUCCUGGGCGCGGACAUGGCACUGCUCAUCAGACCACGCUGAGGCAGUGUCCCACAUGCCACAACUAGAAGAACCCACAACGAAGAAUACACAACUAUGUACCGGGGGGCUUUGGGG
rnacentral:lncRNA from 1 species